GGCAGAGAGAGCCCGGCUCCGUGUCCCAGCCCGCAAGCAAGGGACACGAGGAAAGUCCCCCCACCGCCGGACGGGCGACCGGGUGCAAACCCGGAGUCGGAGACGGCUGGCUCUGGAACAGAAACGAGACCGCUCACCCCGACCCAUGAGGCGCAUGGGGCCGCGAUGCGGCCCCGUGGUACGAGCGGGCGAGGCCCGCGAGCACGCGAACUGACCCGCGAGGGGAGGGAGAUAACCCGCCGAGGGCAUGCGGCGUCUCACGCCGCAUACAGCGUGCGCGGCACCGCCGCGCACGACGACGGGUGAGAACGGAUGGAACGGCGAAUCUUCGCCGGUGCAAGCGCGUACCCGUAGGUAGUCCGGCGAGCCGGAGACGGCCGGGUGCGCGUGCUGAGCCGAAUGCCGGGACGAACAGAAGGGGGCUUACUCCUCUCAGCC
rnacentral:RNase_P_RNA from 2 species